AGGACUGUGCAGAGGACACAAGCUCCAGUAUUGCAGCUAAUAAAAAAUAAAGGCUGUUCACACCAAGUCCGAACGGUUCUGUACGUUAGCUACAAGAGAUCUGGAAAUAUUCUACACUGGUUCAUACUAAUUAUAGGAUUUUAAUACUGGGAUAAGCUAUAUGGGCUUGUCUCAUUUAUUUUCACAAUUAAGACAUCGCUCUUACAUAUAAAAAACACCCUUGAGGAAGUCUGUUAGAUGAAACGCGUUGGGUGAUUUAACCUUUGUGGGUUGAACGGGCUGUCAUAGGAGCUCCUCUUCGGCUGGGGUAGACAGCAGUGCCAUUAAGACCUUAUCCCACGAAUGUUAAUAUUGAUGUAA